AUGAACGCUAGCGGCAGGCUUAACACAUGCAAGGUCGAGGGGCAGCACAGGUAGCAAUACUGGGUGGCGACCGGCGCAAGGGUGCGUAACGCGUGAGCAACAUGCCCGUAUCAGGGGGAUAAUCCAUGGAAACGUGGUCUAAUACCCCAUAGUAAGUUUUGAGGCAUCUCAAGGAUUUUAAAGCUUUGGUGGAUACGGAUUGGCUCGCGUGACAUUAGCUGGAUGGUAGGGUAACGGCUUACCAUGGCUACGAUGUCUAGGGGUUCUGAGAGGAAGGUCCCCCACACUGGAACUGAGACACGGUCCAGACUCCUACGGGAGGCAGCAGUGAGGAAUAUUGGACAAUGGAUGGAAAUCUGAUCCAGCCAUGCCGCGUGCAGGAAGACGGCCCUAUGGGUUGUAAACUGCUUUUGUAUGGGAGCAAUAAGAUCUACGUGUAGAUUGAUGAGAGUACCAUACGAAUAAGCACCGGCUAACUCCGUG
rnacentral:rRNA from 1 species